CUAUAAGUUUUUUUUGGUGGUUUUAAACCUCCUACUGGGGUUCUUGGGCGGGUGACGGGGGCCUCACCCUGAGUGUGGCACGCCCCCCUUCCGUCCUUCCGUCGGGCGUGCGACCUUCCGGCCCCCUGUCGGCUCUAUCUUUUACCCCGUUAAUUUUAGGAAGUUACAGGGUGGCUAGCGCCGGACUACCUUGGCUAUGAAAAAUGGAAUUAGACUUUUGCCUCUUCCGUGGAUCUCAUGGGUUCCAGGAACGGUAAAUAUGAAUAGGUGGGGGCGUUGGUAUUUAACUGUCAAAGGUGAAAUUGACGAAUCUGGAAAAGACUAACUGGUGCUAAAGCAUUUGCCAAUGAUGUAUUCCUUUUUCAAGAACGAAAUCUAUGGGAUCCAAAACGAUCAGAUACCGUCAUAGUCUUAGCCAUAACCAAUGACGACUUUUACUCGACGGCUCGAGUUAUCCUGCUUCGAUCCUUUCUGCAACAUCCCAGAAUUUGAAUUCUGGGGGGACCAUGGGCGCUUGGGUCACCUUCAGGACUUGACGGAAUGGCACAACGGCCGCGCACUUGCGGAUCAUGUGACUCACAUGGCCAUACUUUCACGUUUAGCAUACUAGGCUCGACAGAGUUUACCUCUUCCUGAUUUGUUCGUGGUCUGUUUGGCCGGCUUAGCGGGUAGUGUCUUGUCGGUAAUGACGUUAAUAAUCAUUACUUAACCUAAUUUAAAAACCUGGCAGUCUUGUUUCC
rnacentral:rRNA from 1 species